rnacentral:rRNA from 1 species
UGACAAACCCGGAGGAAGGUGGGGAUGACGUCAAGUCCUCAUGGCCCUUAUGGUAGGGCGUUCACACGUCAUACAAUGGUCGGUACAGAGGGUUGCCAACCCGCGAGGGGGAGCUAAUCCCACAAAGCCGAUCGUAGUCCGGAUCGCAGUCUGCAACUCGACUGCGUGAAGUCGGAAUCGCUAGUAAUCGUGGAUCAGCAUGUCACGGUGAAUACGUUCCCGGGUCUU